GUUUCAUCUGUUUCUGCCCCUGUGAGGGAUGGGCUGACAUUGCAGAUGGUGUCAGAUGGACUGCAGAAGACGACCCUGGCUCUUGUAGCCAUGCAGACAGUCCCAGGUCAGCAUCUGAAGCAGUUCCUGGA